AACGAACGCUGGCGGCAGGCCUAACACAUGCAAGUCGAACGCCCCGCAAGGGGAGUGGCGCACGGGUGAGUAACGCGUGGGAAUAUGCCCUUCGGUUCGGAAUAACACAGGGAAACUUGUGCUAAUACCGGAUACGAUCUACGGAUGAAAGAUUUAUCGCGGAGGGAGUAGCCCGCGUAGGAUUAGCUAGUUGGUGAGGUAAUGGCUCACCAAGGCGACGAUCCUUAGAUGGUCUGAGAGGAUGAUCAGACACACUGGGAGGGAGACACGGCCCAGACUCCUACGGGAGGCAGCAGUGGGGAAUAUUGGACAAUGGGCGCAAGCCUGAUCCAGCCAUGCCGCGUGAGUGAUGAAGGCCUUAGGGUUGUAAAGCUCUUUCGUCCGGGACGAUAAUGACGGUACCGGAAGAAGAAGCCCCGGCUAACUUCGUGCCAGCCGCCGCAGUAA
rnacentral:rRNA from 1 species